AAACCCGGUGAUCUAGCCAUGGGCAGGUUGAAGGUUGGGUAACACUAACUGGAGGACCGAACCGACUAAUGUUGAAAAAUUAGCGGAUGACUUGUGGCUGGGGGUGAAAGGCCAAUCAAACCGGGAGAUAGCUGGUUCUCCCCGAAAGCUAUUUAGGUAGCGCCUCGUGAACUCAUCUUCGGGGGUAGAGCACUGUUUCGGCUAGGGGGCCAUCCCGGCUUACCAAACCGAUGCAAACUCCGAAUACCGAAGAAUGUUAUCACGGGAGACACACGGCGGGUGCUAACGUCCGUCGUGAAGAGGGAAACAACCCAGACCGCCAGCUAAGGUCCCAAAGUCAUGGUUAAGUGGGAAACGAUGUGGGAAGGCAUAGACAGCCAGGAUGUUGGCUUAGAAGCAGCCAUCAUUUAAAGAAAGCGUAAUAGCUCACUGGUCGAGUCGGCCUGCGCGGAAGAUGUAACGGGGCUAAACCAUGCACCGAAGCUGCGGCAGCGACGCUUAGCGUUGUUGGGUAGGGGAGCGUUCUGUAAGCCGUUGAAGGUGGCCUGUGAGGGUUGCUGGAGGUAUCAGAAGUGCGAAUGCUGACAUAAGUAACGAUAAAGCGGGUGAAAAGCCCGCUCGCCGGAAGACCAAGGGUUCCUGUCCAACGUUAAUCGGGGCAGGGUGAGUCGACCCCUAAGGCGAGGCUGAAAAGCGUAGUCGAUGGGAAACAGGUUAAUAUUCCUGUACUUGGUGUUACUGCGAAGGGGGGACGGAGAAGGCUAGGCUAGCCGGGCGACGGUUGUCCCGGUUUAAGCGUGUAGGGGG
rnacentral:rRNA from 1 species